GUCGCACCUACCGAUUGAAUGGUCCGGUGAGGCCUCGGGAUUGUCACCCCCGCCAUUAAUUUGGUGGAGGCCGCGAGAACUUGUCCAAACCUUAUCAUUUAGAGGAAGGUG
rnacentral:rRNA from 1 species